GGAGCCGUAGCGAAAGCGAGUUUUAACUGAGCGUUCAGUUACUUGACGUAGACCCGAAACCGGGCGACCUACCCAUGAGCAGGAUGAAGCGAAAGUAAAAUUUCGUGGAGGUCCGAACCCACGAGCGUUGAAAAGCUCGGGGAUGACUUGUGGGUAGCGGUGAAAUUCCAAUCGAGCCCGGAGCUAGCUGGUUCCCCCCGAAAUAGCUUAUGGGCUAGCCUCAAGGUGAGAGAUACGGAGGUAGAGCACUGAAUGUCCUAGGGGGUAUUGCACCUACCGAAGACUAUCAAACUCCGAAUGCCGUCAUCUUAUACUUGGGAGUCAGACUGUGGGUGAUAAGAUUCAUAGUCGAAAGGGCAACAGCCCAGAUCGUCAGCUAAGGUCCCUAAAUGUAAGUUAAGUGGUAAAGGAUGUGGGAUUGCACAGACAACCAGGAUGUUGGCUUAGAAGCAGCCACUCAUUCAAAGAGUGCGUAAUAGCUCACUGGUCGAGUGAUCCUGCGCCGAAGAUUUCCGGGGCUAAAACUUACUACCGAAGCUACGGCAUCAGUAAUGAUGGGUAGGGGAGCUUCCCAUACGGGUUGAAGCAUGACCGUAAGGACAUGGGGACAGUAUGGGAGUGAGAAUGUUGGCAUGAGUAGCGAGAUGUGGGUGAGAAUCCCACAGGCCGUAAACCCAAGGUUUCCAGGGGAAGGUUCGUCCGCCCUGGGUUAGUCGGGACCUAAGCUGAGGCCGAAAGGCGUAGGUGAUGGACAACAGGUUGAUAUUCCUGUACUACCGAUAACCGUUUGAGAGAAGGGAUGACACAGUAGGAUAAGCUAAGCACACUGUUGGUUAUGUGUGCCCAAGCAUUGAGGCAGUCAAAGUAGGCAAAUCCGCUUUGAUAAUGCUGGGAUGUGAUGGGGAGCGAAAUUUAGUAGCGAAGUAGCUGAUUUCACACUGUCAAGAAAAGUCUCUAUCGAGGUUAAAGGUACCCGUACCGCAAACCGACACAGGUGGGUGAGGAGAGUAUCCUAAGGCCAGCGAGAGAACUGUUGUUAAGGAACUCGGCAAAAUGACCCCGUAACUUAGGGAUAAGGGGUGCCACCAUCAGGUGGCCGCAGAGAAUAGGCCCAAGCGACUGUUUACCAAAAACAUAGGUUUCUGCUAAGUCGCAAGACGAUGUAUAGGGGCUGACGCCUGCCCGGUGCUGGAAGGUUAAGGGGAUCUGUUAGAG
rnacentral:rRNA from 1 species